rnacentral:rRNA from 1 species
CCGCCGUGAUAACGUAGGGUGCAAGCGUUAAUUGGAAUUACUGGGCGUAAAGCGUGCGCAGGCGGUUUUGUAAGUCUGUCGUGAAAGCCCCGGGCUCAACCUGGGAAUUGCGAUGGAGACUGCAAGGCUUGAAUCUGGCAGAGGGGGGUAGAAUUCCACGUGUAGCAGUGAAAUGCGUAGAGAUGUGGAGGAACACCGAUGGCGAAGGCAGCCCCCUGGGUCAAGAUGACGCUCAUGCACGAAAGCGUGGGGAGCAAACAGG